UACGUAGGGGGCAAGCGUUGUCCGGAAUCAUUGGGCGUAAAGAGCGUGUAGGCGGCCCGGUAAGUCCGCUGUGAAAGUCCAGGGCUCAACCCUGGGAUGCCGGUGGAUACUGUCGGGCUCGAGUCCGGAAGAGGAGUGUGGAAUUCCUGGUGUAGCGGUGAAAUGCGCAGAUAUCAGGAGGAACACCAAUAGCGAAGGCAGCUCGCUGGGACGGUAUUGACGCUAAGGCGCGAAAGCGUGGGGAGCAAACAGG
rnacentral:rRNA from 1 species